rnacentral:rRNA from 1 species
UACGUAGGGGGCUAGCGUUGUCCGGAUUUAUUGGGCGUAAAGAGCGUGUAGGCGGCCAGGUAGGUCGGCUGUGAAAACUCGAGGCUUAACCUCGAGAGGGCGGCGGAAACCAUCUGGCUAGAGUCCGGAAGAGGAGAGUGGAAUUCCCGGUGUAGCGGUGAAAUGCGCAGAUAUCGGGAAGAACACCCGUGGCGAAGGCGGCUCUCUGGGACGGUACUGACGCUGAGACGCGAAAGCGUGGGGAGCGAACAGG